rnacentral:rRNA from 1 species
UGCGGAAGGAUCAUUAUCUAUUCCAUGAGGUGCGGUCGCGGCCCUCGGCGGGAGCAACAGCUGCCGUCGGGCGGUAGAGGUAACACUUUCACGCGCCGCAUGUCUGAAUCCUUUUUUUACGAGCACCUUUCGUUCUCCUUCGGCGGGGCAACCUGCCGUUGGAACCAAUCAAAACCUUUUUUUGCAUCUAGCAUUACCUGUUCUGAUACAAACAAUCGUUACAACUUUCAACAAUGGAUCUCUUGGCUCUGGCAUCGAUGAAGAACGCAGCGAAAUGCGAUAAGUAGUGUGAAUUGCAGAAUUCAGUGAAUCAUCGAAUCUUUGAACGCACAUUGCGCCCCUUGGUAUUCCAUGGGGCAUGCCUGUUCGAGCGUCAUCUACACCCUCAAGCUCUGCUUGGUGUUGGGCGUCUGUCCCGCCUCUGCGCGCGGACUCGCCCCAAAUUCAUUGGCAGCGGUCCUUGCCUCCUCUCGCGCAGCACAUUGCGCUUCUCGAGGUGCGCGGCCCGCGUCCACGAAGCAACAUUACCGUCUUUGACCUCGGAUCAGGUAGGGAUACCCGCUGAACUUAAGCAUAUCAAUA